GAAAUGCGAUAAGUAAUGUGAAUUGCAGAAUUCAGUGAAUCAUCGAAUCUUUCAACGCACAUUGCGCCCGCCAGUAUUCUGGCGGGCAUGCCUGUUCGAGCGUCAUUUCAACCAUCAAGCCCCCGGGCUUGUGUUGGGGACCUGCGGCUGCCGCAGGCCCCGAAAACCAGUGGCGGGCUCGCUGUCACACCGGGCGUAGUAGAUUUUUCGUCUCGCCCAGGGCGUGCUGCGGGUUCCGGCCGUUAAAAAGCCUCUCUUUUAACCCAAGGUUGACCUCGGAUCAGGUAGGAAGACCCGCUGAACUUAAGC
rnacentral:misc_RNA from 1 species